GCAUCCAAGUGAGGUUUUGAACAUCACCAGUCUAGUUUCCUCCUGGUAUGUUCAUGCCAGAGUCAACUUCAGCCUGCAACCACGGCCUGGCCUCUAUACCUGUGGGCUGUGAGCCCUGAAGGGGGUUGUACAUUG
rnacentral:snoRNA from 1 species